rnacentral:lncRNA from 1 species
GAUCUUAAGCCAAGCAACAUUCUUCUCGCUGAGGACAUGAGAGCCCGAGUUGGAGACUUCGGCAUAUCAAGAAUCCUACAAGAAAGUACAUGCAAGAGGAUGCAAAACUCAUAUAGCUCAGUUGGAAUUAGAGGUACCAUAGGCUAUGUUGCUCCAGGUAACUGAAAUUCUUCUAGUUUUGUCAUUUACUAUUCACAUAAACAUGUCAUGCUAAGUUGCUAACUUCAAAGUUAAUGAAUAAUUGUAGAGUAUGGGGAGGGCUAUGCAGUCUCAACUCGUGGUGAUAUUUACAGUCUUGGGAUAUUGCUGCUUGAGAUGUUUACCGGAAGAAGCCCAACAAACGACACGUUCAGGGAUUCAUUGGAUCUCCAUAAGUUUGCAGAGGAUGCUCUUCCAGAUAGAACCUUGGAGAUAGCAGACCCAACAAUCUGGCUCCACAGUGAACCGCUGGAUAGCACUACGAGUACCAGAAUCCAAGAAUGCUUGGUUUCUGUCUUUAGGCUUGGCAUAUCCUGCUCAAAGCAACAGCCUCGAGAACGGACAUUGAUUAGAGAUGCAGCGGUAGAGAUGCAUGCAAUUAGAAGCGCGUACCUCCUGCUUGGUGGUUAGCUUAUAGGAGAACAUGAAGAAAGUUAAGGUUCAACUGAAGACAUUCGGAAACCAUUGAACAAGCUGGAAAGAUG